rnacentral:rRNA from 1 species
AGAGUUUGAUCAUGGCUCAGAUUGAACGCUGGCGGCAUGCCUUACACAUGCAAGUCGAACGGCAGCACGGGUGCUUGCACCUGGUGGCGAGUGGCGAACGGGUGAGUAAUACAUCGGAACAUGUCCUGUAGUGGGGGAUAGCCCGGCGAAAGCCGGAUUAAUACCGCAUACGAUCUACGGAAGAAAGCGGGGGACCUUCGGGCCUCGCGCUAUAGGGUUGGCCGAUGGCUGAUUAGCUAGUUGGUGGGGUAAAGGCCUACCAAGGCGACGAUCAGUAGCUGGUCUGAGAGGACGACCAGCCCACACUGGGACUGAGACACGGCCCAGACUCCUACGGGAGGCAGCAGUGGGGAAUUUUGGACAAUGGGCGAAAGCCUGAUCCAGCAAUGCCGCGUGUGUGAAGAAGGCCUUCGGGUUGUAAAGCACUUUUGUCCGGAAAGAAAUCCUGAGGGCUAAUAUCCUUCGGGGAUGACGGUACCGGAAGAAUAAGCACCGGCUAACCUACGUGCCAGCAGCCGCGGUAAUACGUAGGGUGCGAGCGUUAAUCGGAAUUACUGGGCGUAAAGCGUGCGCAGGCGGUUUGCUAAGACCGAUGUGAAAUCCCCGGGCUCAACCUGGGAACUGCAUUGGUGACUGGCAGGCUAGAGUAUGGCAGAGGGGGGUAGAAUUCCACGUGUAGCAG